rnacentral:lncRNA from 1 species
GAGUGAUGUGGUAGGGGUGCGGCGAGUCAAGUAGUUAAGAGUGGGGGUGCGAGAAGUAAAAGUCAAUGAGUUGAUUAAAGAAGAAGAAGCCAUUGUUUGUUGAGAAGAGAAAGCUCACUGAGGAGACCACAGUUGUUGGAAAAUAAAUUUGGGAGGAGAUGAUGUUUAGUGUUGAGACUUGAGAUAUGAAAAUUGAUUAAAUUGUCGUCGUAUGUAAGAAUAGUCACAGCUCAGCAAAGAAUAAACUAUCCUCUCUUUUUUCUAUCAGUCCUACGAUUUGGGUGUCACGAUAAUUAAUAAGUAUCCCCACGAGAGGUCCAAGGGGCAACGAGAGCAAGAGCAAUAAAUUUAGGACACUACUAUUUCAUGUUAAAAAAC